rnacentral:tRNA from 1 species
GGACGCUUACUUCAGUUGGCAGAAGGUCAAUCUCAUAAAUUGAUAGUCCGGAGUUCAAGUCUCCGAGCGUCCACUA